rnacentral:rRNA from 1 species
GACGAACGCUGGCGGCGUGCUUAACACAUGCAAGUCGAACGGAAAGGCCCUGCUUUUGUGGGGUGCUCGAGUGGCGAACGGGUGAGUAACACGUGAGUAACCUGCCCUUGACUUUGGGAUAACUUCAGGAAACUGGGGCUAAUACCGGAUAGGAGCUCCUGCUGCAUGGUGGGGGUUGGAAAGUUUCGGCGGUUGGGGAUGGACUCGCGGCUUAUCAGCUUGUUGGUGGGGUAGUGGCUUACCAAGGCUUUGACGGGUAGCCGGCCUGAGAGGGUGACCGGCCACAUUGGGACUGAGGUACGGCCCAGACUCCUACGGGAGGCAGCAGUGGGGAAUAUUGCACAAUGGGCGGAAGCCUGAUGCAGCAACGCCGCGUGCGGGAUGACGGCCUUCGGGUUGUAAACCGCUUUCGCCUGGGACGAAGCGUGAGUGACGGUAAUGGGUAAAGAAGCACCGGCUAACUACGUU